rnacentral:rRNA from 1 species
AUUGAACGCUGGCGGCAUGCUUUACACAUGCAAGUCGAACGGUAACAGGCCGCAAGGUGCUGACGAGUGGCGAACGGGUGAGUAAUGCAUCGGAACGUGCCCAGUCUGGGGGAUAACGCAGCGAAAGCUGCGCUAAUACCGCAUACGAUCUAUGGAUGAAAGCGGGGGGACCGUAAGGCCUCGCGCGAUUGGAGCGGCCGAUGUCAGAUUAGGUAGUUGGUGGGGUAAAGGCUCACCAAGCCAACGAUCUGUAGCUGGUCUGAGAGGACGACCAGCCACACUGGGACUGAGACACGGCCCAGACUCCUACGGGAGGCAGCAGUGGGGAAUUUUGGACAAUGGGCGCAAGCCUGAUCCAGCAAUGCCGCGUGCAGGAAGAAGGCC